CACAUCCCGGCCCGGGGCGGAUCACUUCCCGGGCCCGCUCCACCACCGUAGCACGAUAUUGUCCGCUUUGGGCUUACCAUUCCCUCACGGUUUUGUUUUUGGGAACUCACGAGCAACUUCCCAGUGGGUCACCCAUCCUGGGAGUGCUCUAGCCCCCUUCUCGCUUAACUUCGGAGUUCCGACGGAACCCGAAGCCAGUGAGCUCCCAAAAGGCCUCGUGCUAGGUAGGGAUGGGAAUAUACAUUUAAGGAUCGCUCCCCUGGGCGAUGUGGGAUGUUACAAUCCACCCCCCUUAGGGGCCCGACGUCCUCGUCGGCACACUUCCGGCCAGGGAUUGGCUCUGAUACCAAUUGUCACAUCCCGGCCCGGGGCGGAUCACUUCCCGGGCCCGCUCCACCACCGUAGCACGAUAUUGUCCGCUUUGGGCUUACCAUUCCCUCACGGUUUUGUUUUUGGGAACUCACGAGCAACUUCCCAGUGGGUCACCCAUCCUGAGAGUGCUCUAGCCCCCUUCUCGCUUAACUUCGGAGUUCCGACGGAACCCGAAGCCAGUGAGCUCCCAAAAGGCCUCGUGCUAGGUAGGGAUGGGAAUAUACAUUUAAGGAUCGCUCCCCUGGGCGAUGUGGGAUGUUACAACAAGGCUCCCGCUUUCCGCAGGGUCCCGAACGCAUUUUUUAUCUGUUUUUGUAUCUAAAAAAACAAAAAACUAUUUUACAAAAUGUUAACGAAGAGAACCUUAGUCUACACCAAAUUCUAAUCAAAUUUAAAGAAUUCAAGAAGCUCACACACAAGUCAAGGGACAGAAUAAAAUAAACAUCACAAAAAUAAAAUAAUAGCCUGAAAUUGGGAAAAAUACAAAUCAAUUUAUAAAUCCCAAGAACAACCCAAAUCCCUAGUGAAAUAAGAAAAUCAAACCUAAAAUACUAGAAAUUAAAAAAAAUAUUAACAGAUAAGGAAACAGGUUACAUUGAAAAAUAAUGAGAGAUAAACAACCAAACCACCUAGAAAGGUGAGGGCGCAGCAUAACCCAAGAAGGGCCUACCCGAUUGGGACCCGCAGUAAGACCCGGGAAUAUUCGGGUCACAGAUAUUCACAGUAUCUUUUAGCUUGUGGAAUCCGUUCUUGAAGACUCCGAAACCGAAUAGCAGACCCACCAGAACCACCACCAGAAUCAAACAGGUACACAGCAUGCAAACCCUACUCGGACAGCACAUCUUUGCCUCUGAUUUGGGUCUUUCCUUCUUUCUCUCUCUCUAGAAAUUUCAGAGCCCAGAAACUGGAACUUGAGAUCUCGAAAUCUGGGAAUUGGGUUUUGUUCGGUUUUUGAUGAAUGUGUUGAAUUUUCAGGCUUUAAAGCUUCUUCUUCUUCUGAGGGAACUCACCGAUUUGGGUUUCUGUCUCUCUCUCUCUCUCUCUCUAGAAUGGAUUUUCUUUCUCUCUCUAGAAAUCUCAGAACCCAGAAGAUGCAGCCUGAGAUCUUGGAAUCUGGGUUUUAAUGGGUUUUUGAUAAAUGUGGGGAAUCUGGGGUCGUUUUCGGAGAUGGAGAUGGAAAGACGCGAUGGGAAUCGAAUUGUUGGCUUUGAAGGAAAGCAAAUUGCAAAAGGGGGUUCGGAUGUUGCCCUUUAAAACGUGAGUGGAUAAUGCGGGGAAGAGAAAAGGAGUCCGUUACCUUCCUUUUCUUCUACAAGCAAGAAAGAUGGUUUGCUUUUUUAUUGUUUGAUGACGUGGAGGGAUGUUAUUGGGGGGAUUCUUUAACGGAAUUAUUGUCUAAUAAUUGUUUAAAUUUGAAGUUGUAUUGUGGCAAAUAAUUGUUUUCCUAAUAUGACUUUGUAACUUUAAUAUAAAAAAAAAAUUACAGGGUAUUUUCAUUAAAUUCAUAGGGAUUCGAAUUUGAAUGCAGGAGAGCAGAGUCCUCUGACCGGAAGUGUAUUCUACUAGAUAUGGUUGAAAGUGUGCCGACGAGAAUGUCAGGCCCCUAAGGGGGAUGGAUUGUGAGAUCCUACAUCGUUUAGGGGAGUGGAUCCUUUAUGCCUUAUAUGUACAUUCCCACCUCCAAUUAGCACGAGGUCUUUUGGGAGCUCACUGGCUUCGGAUUCCAUAUGAACUUCGAAGUUAAGCGAGAUUGCGCGAGAGUAAUCCCAUGAUGGGUGACCCACUGAGAAGUUCUCGUGUGAGUUCCCAGAAACAAAAUCGUGAGGGCGUGGUCGGGACCCAAAGCGGACAAUAUCGUGCUACGAUGGAGUCGAGUCCAGGAUGUGAUGGGGCCCUAGCCGGGAUGUGACAGGUACUAAAUUGGCCAUAUGGUUAUAACACAGGGACCAAUUUGACAUUUAAGCCAAAUUUCUAAACAGUUUGGUGUCUACAUGUCUUCUCACUUGCUAUCAAAUUAAUUAAUCAUUUUUAUAUAACUCGUUUGAAAAUACUUUUAAAAUGACUAUAAACUAUAUGGGUGAAAUUGUUUUUGUCAAAAACACUUUCAUUCAUUUUAAAAACACUUCCAAAUGAGUUAUUAAUCAUCAAUUGUUUGGCACGGUCCCAUUAGGUCUGACAAUUUAUUGCACGAUUCUUUCAUUCGAUACAAAACGACAUGAAAGUAAUAGGUUUUGAGUCAACCUGUUAACAAGUCGAGUCGUUAUCAGGACUCAUUAAGAACCCUUUAACGAGUUGAGUCAUUGUCGAAUCAAGAACUCGACAAAAUAUUGUUUGCCAAAUUUAGACAUUAAGCAAUGUCUUGCAGGACCCAUUAACCCAACACAAAACAACACAACUUGUUAAUUAAUCAAGUCAUUAUCAGAUCACCUCGGUUUAAUAAACAUUGCUCAAUAAUCAAAUUCGGUCAGUCCCAAAUAAAGCUUGUAAAUCAUAUAUACUAAACGUGAGUUUCCCUGGCACUGUUGAUCACCAGUGUCCGGACGAAACUGCCCUCGGUUCUCUGUUUUCUUUCCGUUUGUGUCCCUAUUUUCCACGCGUCGCUCAUCUUUUUCUCUCGACUUCGAGAGUCUUCUUAACGAGUUACACUAUGUUUGGAUGAAGAAAUUUAUGAUUACUAAAGAAUUUUAAAAUGACGAAAAUUGAAAUAACGAUAUUUUAUUUUCUAGAAUUUGCGAAUUUUCUUGUUUGGUAAAUCUAAAAGAACAAUGAAAUUGAAUACGGAAUUUGUUAUUUUUAAACUCUCAUUCAUAGAUAUUGGGAAAUAACACUUAUUUACAUGGAAUUUAAACUUGAGAAUUUGAGGUCCCAAAUUCCAAGCUUUUUUCCACGCGGAAAUUCUAAAUUUCUAUGUUUAUGAACAGGGGCGGAGCCACCAAGGGACUAGGGUAGUCCCCGGCCCAUCCUGACUUCAUCUGAGGUGUGAACCUCAUGGAAGAAAAUAAAGCAAACGACGUCGUUAAGCUGUUUUGAUUUUAAUCUUUUUUGCUGUCUAAUGAAACGAUAAGUUUGGCAAGGGAGUUUUAAAAGAGAUGUGCAAUUUUAAAUGGAAAAAGCAACCCCACUUCUGGUUCAAUUCUCUCACCUAACAGUAAUAUACACCCUAUAAUUUUCUAAAGCAACCCACCUUCUUUAUUUGCAGACAUCUCCCCCUUUUCCUUCUUUUUUCUACUUCUUUGUAUUUUCUUUAGCCUUCCACAACCUACCUCUUACUUGGUUGUCUGGGUUUUUACAUUUUUUUUCUUCUAGUAUUGAAUUCAAGAGAUUUUUUUUUAGUUUUGUGAGGAUUACACAAAUUGCAUAUGUCAACAUGUUAUGAAUUCAACUUUUUACACACACACACACACACACACACACACUUGUGAAAGGCCCCUCCUCAUUCAGAAUUCUGGCUCCGCCACUGUUUAUGAAUUCAAACAAGAGAAUCAAUGCAUGUCAAUUUGUAAAUUCUGAUUUUUUCCCAAAUUCUAUGUUUAUUUCCCUCGUCCAAACAUGUGUUAGGGUUUUGUUCCUUUGUUGCUUUUCCUGAUUUCAGCUUUUGCUCUUUUCGUUUUGGCCGUUCUUUCUUCCAAUCCUCUGUUUCCUAUGAUAUCCGUGCUUUCUUUCGCGGAAAGGGUUGCUAAUUUUCGUGGUUUAAGGGAUUUUGUGGUUGCCGGGCCGUUGUGUGUCUAUUUAGAUUUGGGAUUUUUUGCGUUCCGAGGGUUUUGACAUCUUUAAUUGGGGUAAAGGAUUCCUGUUGUUUCCCUUUUUUUCCAUUUGGGAUUUCUGGGUUGUGGCUGGGUUUUUGGUCGAUUUACACCUCUUUUAUAAUCAUUUUCUUUUGGUUUUUAUUUUUGGUUUUUCCUUUGUUUUGAUGAAACCUUAAUCGUUUCCUUUUACUGUCAAUUGUGGUGCUCUCUUGGGUUUUCCUUGUUAAAGGAGAAUUUUGCGUUUUUGUUCUUCAGUUGGCAAAUCUCUGAUUUGCUGGUAUUUGCAACGUUGCUGUAAUUUUUUGGGUAUUUUUUGCGCUUCUGCUUUUUUUCCGAUUCGGACAUGGAUUGGUAAAUAUUGGAUUUAAAUGGAUUCGUAGUUUUUUAUGAGAGGAGUUGUUGAGAUUGUGUGAAGGUUUGUUUUUCUGGGUUUUAUGCUGCGGGGGUUACAAACACGAAGAGGAGGAGAGGAAACAGUAGUUUAGAAUUAUUUGCGUGUGCUUUUUUCUGGUUAUGCUUUUUUCCAGUUUGGAUUAAAAUGGAUUUUGAAUUUUUGAGAAGAAAUUAAAAGGGUCGUUGGAAUUUUGGAAGCCUUUGUGUUAUUGGUGAACACGCAGACAAUGUUGAAAAUUUGUGGUAAAAGACUAAUGUUUGUAUAUAAAAAUUGCAGCCAUGUGGUAAAGAACAAUGGUUCAUUAAGCUAAAUGUCAAUGGACUAAUCCAUGUGUUGACUGUGUUGACAAGGCACAAAUUUUUUUGACAUGUUUGGGUUUCAUCUCAUGUGGAUUAGUGGAAAAACAAAAUGAUAUUGCUCUGACAGAAUGUUGGUCGCUUACAGGUCUGAAGACUAAUACCAUACUUGACAAAUCUCAAAAUUACUGAGCACCGGUCAACGUUAUACAGUCAAGGACCUAAAAAAGUUUCCCUCAAACCAGGAGGCCAAUCACAGCGCGACACGUGUCGACAUCAGAAGCCAAUAAUAGCGCGACACGUGUCAACAUCAGAAGCCAAUCACAACACGACACGUGUCAAUGUCAUAAUGAAACUAGAAACUCUCUUCUAUAAAUAGAGAUCAUUCUCUCACAAUAUUUCCUAAUGUCAAUUGUACUAAAUCAUUCACUAGUACUCACAAAAGGAAAGCUUGAACCUAUGUACUUGUGUAAACCCUUCACAAUUAAUAAGAACUCCUCUACUCCGUAGACGUAGCCAAUCUAGGUGAACCACGUACAUCUUGUAUUUGCUUCCUUGUCUCUAUCCAUUUACAUACUUAUCCACACUAGUGACCGGAGCAAUCUGGCGAAGGUCACAAACUUAACACUUUCUGUUGUACCAAAGUCCUCACUGAUUUUGUGCAUCAACAACUAAUAUUACGAGAAUAUAUAAACAUAAAGCAACCAGCACACCAUGGAGCUAAUGUCCUAUGAAAAGGAUAGAAAAUAGAUAUCAGACAGGAAGGAAGAAGAUCAGAAAAGGCAACCGAAACACAACUAUUUAGACAACAUAAAUCCAUUUUCACGAAGCACUUAGCACAGACGUCGAAAGAUACACCUAUUGACUGAAAUACAAAAAAGGAUAAAGAACUCUAACCUUCCUCGACGACAUAAGAACCCAGUUAAAAGAAAUCUACUUAGCCCUCAAUGAAAUCCUUGUUUUGGGCAAGGUAAUAACAACAAAACCUCUUCAUCCGGCUAGUUUAUGCAUUCAAAGUCGGGAUGAAGAUCAGUGGCGGAGCCAAGAAUUUAAACUAGAAGGGGCCUUUAAAUCAUAUAAAAAAAUUAGACAAAAAAUAUAGCAAUAUAACUAAUGAGAGAAAAUUAAGGGUUCCUUUUUUGUAUUGGCAUGGAAAAUUUUAAUCAAACAAGACUGGUAGAUCUUUAACAUGUAUGAAAAUUUAGUAUUAAAUAAUUAUAUCAUAAAAACAGAACUUGUUACGAGAUUAACAAUAAAGUUAACAUUAAUUUCAAACCAAAAUUUAAAAUUAUGGCUCAAUACUAUUAUUAUGAGAUUUUUCUUCAACAUAAAUUAACCUUGUUUCGUAUCAACUAACCAAAAAAAUAUUUGCUGAUAAAGAACUUGGAAGAGGUUCACCAGCAAGUUUCGAACCCCUGACAUGCAGGAACAGAAAAACCCUUAGAACCACCGAGCCGCAUAUUCUUUAGUUACCAAACCAACAGAUAAAGUAUAUAAACUAAUAUUUCAGGAUAGGCCCGUGCCCAUCUUGGUCUCCAUGUGGCUCCGCCACUGAUGAAGAUCACACACAUACAUACAGAACCAUACAAAAACUUGACCAUGAGAACUUAGGAAGUACGCAAUGUCCUUAAUGUACUAAGGAUUAAAAGUAGAUACAGAAACCAGUCAUAAACACCAUCAGGAAGCAAUCCACUCAAACAAUGAAAGAUAAUAAAAAAAAUUAACAAUACCUUUUAUUCUAUUACAAAUUGAGCAUCCAACCAGAAACCAAUAGGCAACGGGUGGAGACGCCCAAGAUCAUUCAAACUAUUUAUGUAAUGCUUCAAUUCCCGACAAGGGAUUCACACUCUCGAAACAAUACCCGCUCCAAGAAGCAAUAUACUCUCAAAAAUUUCAACUUAUUAAUUUUGUAAUAAACACGAAGAAAACUUGUCAUUUUCUCACUAACCCUUUUCUGUUCAUUUUCAUUUUCACUAUAUUCGUAAUUAAGCAAAACUAUAAAUCAAAUUGAAAAACUAUAAUCUGCUCCUCUGAAGAAUCCAAAUUUUGCAUAAAGUAUAUGUAUUUACAUUAAUAAUGAUAAGUGGAGUGACUAUCCUUAAUCUCUAACUAAAUUCUUCAUAAAUUUUCUAUUUCGAUGAACUGUAGAAGAGUAAGCUAUUCUUUUUUUUAAAUUACGCUGACCGGGAGAUGUUGAAGCUGCAUAGAUUAUUUGAAUUGUGUUUGAGCCUAGGAUCAGGAAUUUUGUCAGAAACAAGGCUAAUAACUAGAGGGCAAGCUUGUAUCCUUUGGGUUAUUGGGACCUAACUUUCUAUAUCAUCAAUUCAAUAUAGAUCGCAUAACAUAUAUAUUAUAGUAUAAUAUAUAUUUAUUAUACUUAUAUAUGAAUCGAACAAGGCAUAUCGUAACUUCUUUGCAUGUCGUUUCCACCCUUUUUUUUAGGAAAAAACUUAUGAUGAGCAUCUAUUUGAGUCGAGCAUUUCCAAGAUCUAAUUCAAGUUUUUUCUUAGCUGGACUCCCGCUUCCAGUCGUUGGCCUUUUUGACAUAUAGUAUAGUUCCACAAUGCGCAUUGACUUGUUUUAGCAAAAACAUAAAAAUUAAUACUAAAAACAUGAAUUUUGCUAAGGAAUUAAUAUAAAACCAAUGCAUAUGAGAGAAUUAUAAUCAAGUCAAUACAAAUUAAUGAAUAAAUCUAAAUGAAUUAGAGCUCAAUCCAAUCAGAAAUCCAGCAAAUAAGCAUCGCAAAGAUUAAAUUUAAACCAAAAACAAAUAAAGCCAUACAAAGGUUAAGAAUUUAUAUUCGGAUUGAAGAAAGAGAUUACGUACCGACAUGAAUUCAAUCAAAAGGGAAAGAACUUUUUUAUUUUUCGGGAAAAUGAAAUGACUCGGAAAGCAGAGAGAGACGUUGGGCCAGAAAUGGGCCUAUAAUUGCAUUAUGAAAUCUGGGAAAGCAUAUGAGGCUUUAACGAUUUUUGUUUCGGGAUGAACGGCGUUAUUUUGCUGACGGGAACGGAAAGAUGAUUCGGAACGCCGUUAAGUCGGCGUCAGCCCUGACGUGGUUUGUGCGUUUAGAAUGAAAUUGAGAGUCAAAUAAAAAAUGGAAAAUUGCACAAUCACUAUCCCACAUAAAAUCCACGAAUAAAAUCGAACCAGUUUUUCACAAAUUCACGUUUUAGUACUGAUGUAUUACUACCCUCAAUUUUCCCUAGAACUCAGUUAAAACGUAUAAUCGUCACCAAUUUAUUACAUAUCAAUUAGAUGAAUAAUGCACCUUUUGAAUAAGUGACGAAAGCUUGGUAUAAGGAUUUGAUUGACCAAAAUUUGUUGGCACAUAUUAUCUACUUUCAGGAAGACAAGUUAUGGUAAAGGAAGUCAUUUAGUGGUCAUCAUUUGCAUUUCCAUUUCUUUGUUGAUUGCUUAUUCUCGAUGCAUUAAAUAAAAUGCAUUACUAGCUCAUAAGUCAAAAUUUGCUAAAAUAAAAUAAAACAUUAGGUGAAAGUGGCCUGAUUUACAAAGUUAUAAUACAAAUCAGUGAAAAGGGGCCAAGCAAACAUAGCAAUCGUUUACCAAAAAAAAAAAAAGCAAAAUAUAGGAAUCCGGGAGAAGAAAUGUUGGCCAAGAAAUAUCCAGGUUGUCAGCCAAUUGAAGACCUCCCAAAGCAGCCACUCCUCAACCCCCAAAACCUUGACCCAACCCAAAAUAUGUGGAUUACUUUACUUUACAAGAAUAAAGAUGAUUAAUUACCCAAAAAAAAAAGAAUAAAGAUGAUUAAUAAUAAUAAUAAUAUUAAUAUUAAAACAUUCCUCGAGAGAUGAUACCUGGACCAUCAGCUUCAUAUCAGUGUGCCAUCUAUCUGUAUGCAAGGGAUGUGGGAUAUUUUGUGCCAGUAGCGUCCUUUUCCUGGUUGGCAUCUCUCUUUUAGCACUGGACACUCAUAGAUCCAAAGUUUCGUAAGUGAAGGAGGCAGACCCUCCUCUGGAAUGGAUGCUAGCUUUGGACAAUAGGAGAGUUUCAAAGAUUGAAGGGAGGGGAGGAAUUGAAAGCCCUUGCUGCUCAGUUUCUUCAGAUUCGGAAAUCCUUUUAUUAUGAGAUGAGCGAGAAAUUUGAGCGUCUCCAUCCGUACCAUGACGGGUGGAAACGACACCGUAUUCGGGUCAUCACUGUCGAUAUACAAGUAUGUAAGAGAGGUGAGUCUGUGCAACCCCCACUCCAACUCCCACAAUGACUUACAGCUCUUGACCUUUCCAAUUGCAAGUGAUGUUAGGUUGGGAGGAAAAGUCAAACCUUCACGGUAGUCGAUGCUCAAGUACUCCAGAGAGUUGAGAUUGUGCAUGUCUUCGCGCAAUGCCUCCAAUUUGUCGCAACCUCUUAUAUAGAUCUCUCUCAGGUUGGAGGGUCUUCUCCCCCCACUCAGUCUCGGGAUGGAAACAAGACUUCCACAAAUGAAAAUAUAUAGCUGUUGAAGAUUGCUGAGGUGGCAUAAGCCAUCCGGUAAGGAUUUCAGAUUUUGGCAAUUCCAGAUCAUAAUGUAUUCAAGACAAUAAUUAGUGUUGUCGUGGAAGAACCUGUCCUCUGCGAUUAGCUCCAGUUGUUCACAACCAAGUAUCUCAAGGUGUUUAAGUGUCCUGAGAAGCUGGCCACUCAAUGAUAACGACGUCAGAGAUUCACAUCCUUCGAUCUUCAAGUACUCAAGACAACUAUGAGAAGAAGACGACCAAGAAGAACCAACAGCCUCCUCAUCCACUAGUGAUUUCAAAAUUUUGCACUUUCUUAUCUCUAUUCUUCUGAGAUUUUGGGGAAUCUGGAAUUUUGCAAAAUAUAUCAACGAAUCGCACUCUGUAAUCAGGAUGUCUUUAAGAGAAGGUGGCAGACCAACAUCUGUAAAAGAAACUAGACUUGAACAUUCGUGUAUGCGAAGCUCUUGAAGAGACGACAGCUGAUUUAACCCUUUUGGUAGCUUCAAAAGAUUUUCGCACUUUCUUAACUUUAGAAAUUCAAGCUUGCAAUCCAAUAUUUGCAAUUGCAGCAACUCCUCUGCUUCUUCUCCCAAUUCUUCAACUAGACGAGAGUUGUCUUCAAUUUCCAAACGGCCAAGAGAAGUCAACCACUGCAAUAAUCUAGCCUCAUUCUUCAGUGAAGACGUCAGCUUCUCACAUCCAUUGAUCUUCAAAUCUCUAACCUUGCUUAGUCCCUUUCUGAACAAUUCCCCUGUUGGCCGAGACAUCACCUCCGAAAUGUUUGAAAUGCACAAGGACUCUAAUAACUCAAACUCAACCUUAGCAGCCGUAUGUUCCAACACUUUACAACCGUCAAUGUUUAGCUGACGAAGCUGUUUGUAGUUGGCAAUCGAAACCGUCAAUUCCUCACAUUUAACAAUUUCAAGUUUGGCUAACAAAUCGAGCUUCUCUGGCAGUUUACCUUCCAACUUAGAACAUUCCUUGAUUGAAAGCCUUUUUAGGCAAGGGAAAACACCACUUCCGUGAUCCAGUUGGAAAGGAAGCCACACCUUCCAAUGCCGCAUAUUCACAAACUUGAGAAUCUCUAACAGCGGAAAAGGCAUGACACACUCACCAUAAAACUCAGCACCAACACUUUCGACUGCAUUCAUUCCUCUAAUAUAAAGCUCUUUGAGACGAGGCAAUUGUCCGAGAGGUGGCAACGAUAAACAAUUGUUACAUUCCUCUAAGCGCACAAGCACCAUAUUAGAGAACAAUGGACCUCCAACCCAUGAUGAAAAUUCCUCUCUGGCAUAACCCGUGAUGGUGAGCUCCUUGAGCUUUGUAUGAGGCUGUAACAUGUCAAGCACAGCGGAUUCUGUUUCUCUCGUGUCGCUUGAAUAAUACCAUUUUAGGACCAGUGAAUCAAGCCUCUCCUUGCAUUUCAAGUUGGCCCUCCUGGCAUCCUCGACAUUAGUCACAUUCUCCAAUCCUGAGAGGCACAAUGUCCCUCGGAGAUGCAAUAGGGGCCCUAUCUCUCUUAUCCCUGAAUGAUCACUUCCUUCGCUCACCACAAAAAGAGGCAGUGAUUGUAGAUUUGUCAAUCGACCUAGUUGCGAAGGCAUUCCUUUCAACGAAGAUGCAUAUGAGUUGUUGAGAUGGCGCAAAUUAAUUAGAUUACUCAUGUUCGCGGGCAAUGACUUCAAUUGAGAACAACCUUCCAAUAUCAAUGUUUGCAAGUGGUAAAGAGUGCUUGUUGAUUUAGGCAAACUGGCUAUAUAUGUAUAGGAAAGGUCAAGAUACUGUAACAACCUCAAAUCACCGAUUGACUCUGGCAGCUCAGUUAUUUUGUAGCCAUUGAACGAGAGCACUCGUAAGUAUUGCAACUGUGGUAAUAGCUCAAAAGUAACCUUACGAGGCAAAUAUGUGUGCCAUACCCUGGAAUUUGAAAGUGAAAGUGGCAGGAAUGUUCGCAAAUGUUCAGCUUUUGGAAAGGCCUCAAAUCUCGUAAAUCCAUCAAAUUGACCAGCAAUGAAAGACGAAUGGCGAGCCCUUCGAAAGCAAGUGCUUGGCAAGUUAUCACCUCGCUUAUCUUCCAACCUAAAACAUAUUUCACCUGCUGCCCAUUGUGCUAAAUCAUUAACGAGGUCAUGCAUUACAUAUCGUGAAUUGUUUUUGCUUGAUUCUUGAAACAAUGACCUUGCUAAUAGCUCUCGAAAGUAGUCGCGGCCCAAGUCCUCCAUUUGUUUAUUGUCAUCAUGUUUUUGUUGAAUCAAACCCUCUGCCAUCCACAAAAGAAUGAGCUGCUUCUCCCCAAAUUCAUAGUCAUUUGGAAGUAUUGAGCAAUAUGCAAAACACCUCUUCAAAUUUGAUGGAAGAUAGUGAUAGCUCAACUUUAGUACGGGGAGAAUGCCACUCUUGUCUGCUAGAUUCCAUAACUUGUUGUUCAAUAUUUCUCCCCACUCAUCUUUUUCUUUGCAACGUAAAAGACCACCGAGAGUCCUUGCAGCUAAUGGUAAGCCACGACAUUUUUCAACAAUUCUUGUCUUAAUUAAACCAUAAUUUACCGGCUUUCCAUUAUUAAUUCCCCUGAACGCAUGUCGCUCAAAUAUUUCCAAACAAUCACCAUCUGCCAUACACUCCAAAUUAUGAACUCCAGUGGCUCCCAUAAUCUUUGCAACAUUCACAUCACGGGUUGUCACAAUAAUCUUACUUCCUCCUGCUCCGAUGCCAAAAGGGGAUUGAAGUCUUGUCCAGAGAUCGUAUAGAUCAGAGUCAUCUUUGUUCCAGAUAUCAUCUAAAACGAUUAAAAACUUUUUUCCUCUUAAUUGCUCACUCAAAUCAUGCUGCAUUUUACUAAACCCCUCCACUUGGACGGGUCGGGAUGUGAUUGAUUCAAGAAUUUCCUUUGUCACUCGCACAACAUUGAAGUCAUCAGACACAGAUACCCACACCUUUAGCUCAAACUCCUUCAUGGCAUCAUUUUUGUGGUUGAAUACAAGUUGAGCAAGUGUCGUCUUCCCAACUCCGGGCAUGCCAACUAUAGCAACUACACCAAAAUCGGUAGACUUUUUCAACAAUUCAAUAAUCUUCCCUUUGUCACCAUCUCUUCCAACAACAAGCUUUUCAUCUAACACACCUGAACUUGGUAAACUUCGAGAUUCCUUAGCAGACGUCCCAGUAUCUUUCAAGCCAAACUUAUCUUUCCGUUCAGAUAUGUCUUGCAACCGCUUCGUAAUCUUCUUCAUUUCGGAGUUCAUAUCAAAACUCAAUUUAACUUUAUAAAAUGAUCUCCGUACCUUCCUGCUUGUGCUGGCUUGAUCACGUCCCUCUAUCAUGCGCUUCAACAUUUUAACGGCAAAUUUGUCCAACAUGUCUUCGAUAUCAUAGGCCAGGUCUCUGAGAUCAUCCAGCCACAGUUUCACACCACCUUCAGUCAGUUGCCUUUCCUCGGCGUCGCUCAGCACCGCUCCGAUUGUAGACAACGUGGUCCUCCACCUCUCCAGCUUCUGUCCGACCCCCCGGACGUUUCCAACGUACUCAAGAAUCUCGCGAGGGGUCAACCUGUCGAGCAGCAACUGUAGAAACGCCGCAAGAAAAACCUCUCCCAGUGCCAUAUUAAGAGUGAGGAUUACUCCAAGCAGUUAAAGAAAGACCGAAUCGCUCUUGAGCAAUAUUGAGGUGCAGAACUGUACAAAUUAAGUGAAGAAACAAAUGAAUAAAAAGUGGUUCAAAUAAAAUGAAAAACAACUAAUGUAUUAUUCGAAUAAACAAUAAGAACUUACAUGGAAGUUCAAAUCUAACUCUGCUUGUGAUCAACAAAAGACUCGAUGAAGGGAAGAUCAACAGUCAAAUACUAGUUCCUUGGAAAUUUGGAAGCUUGAUCUGUCGAGACUCAGAAAUAGUCACAACAACAACAACAACAACAACAACAAAGCCUUUUCCCACUAAGUGGGGUCGGCUAUAUGAAUCCUAGAACGCCAUUGCGCUCGGUUUUGUGUCAUGUCCUCCGUUAGAUCCAAGUACUCUAAGUCUUUUCUUAGAGUCUCUUCCAAAGUUUUCCUAGGUCUUCCUCUACCCCUUUGGCCCUGAACCUCUGUCCCGUAGUCACAUCUUCGAACCGGAGCGUCAGUCGGCCCUCUUUGCACAUGUCCAAAUCAUCGGAGCCGAUUUUCUCUCAUCUUUCCUACAAUUUCGGCUACUCCUACUUUACCUCGGAUAUCCUCAUUCCCAAUCUUAUCCUUUCUCGUGUGCCCACACAUCCCACGAAGCAUCCUCAUCUCCGCUACACCCAUUUUGUGUACGUGUUGAUGCUUCACCGCCCAACAUUCUGUGCCAUACAACAUCGCUGGCCUUAUUGCCGUCCUAUAAAAAAUUUUCCCUUGAGCUUCAGUGGCCUACGACGGUCACACAACACGCCGGAUGCACUCUUACACUUCAUCCAUCCAGCUCGUAUUCUAUGGUUGAGAUCUCCAUCUAAUUCUCCGUUCUCUUGCAAGAUAGAUCCUAGGUAGCGAAAACGGUCGCUUUUUGUGAUCUUCGCUAGAUUGCUCCGGUCAUUAGUGUGGAUAAGUAUAUAAAUGGAUAGAGAUAGGAAAGCAAACACAAGAUGUACGUGGUUCACCCAGAUUGGCUACGUCCACAGAAUAGAAGAGUUCUCAUUAAUUGUGAAGGGUUUACACAAGUACAUAGGUUCAAGCUCUCCUUUAGUGAGUACAAGUGAAUGAUUUUGUACAAAUGACAUUAGGAAAUAUUGUGGGAGAAUGAUCUCGUAAUCACGAAACUUCUAAGUAUCGGAGUGUGGUGUCGUCUUGACUUGCCUUAUCUGUCUCAUAGGUAGAUGUGGCAUCUUCUCUGAAAGUACUCUUCCUCCAUCCAGGGGUGGUAUCUUUAACUGGUGGAGAUGCACAAGGUAAUGUAUCAAUUUCACUUGAAGCUUACUUGUAGUCUCAGGCUUGGUCAAGCGCGAUACAAACCAUGUAGUAGGAGUCCCCCAAGUCGCCGAGCUAGGGGGUCUGCUGAAAGAGGUGACAGACAAGGUAAGCAAUCAGAGCUCCGACUGAUUGUUCACCUUCUCCCCAUCUUGCAGCAGCAUGAAGGAUAAAGAGAAGAAAAAUGAGAAGAGAUGAUAUGAGAUACUUUUGCUUUUGAAGAAGUAACUUUCCACAGGCUUAUUCUUGAACUGAGCUGGAGGGUUUUCUGGUUUCCUCCAGAGUAUAAGGCCGACUGAAGAAUUUGAGGGUCAAAACAAGUCCAUCAAAUCUAGAGUACGUUCCACCCUACUGAUAUGGGAUACUUUUGCUUUUGACAGAGUAAUGGGUGUAUCGGCACGUGUGCUGUUACGCUUGUCUCCACAUGCUUCCUUGUAUCCUUCGCACUUGCCCUAUCUGUUCCUCAAGCAGAUGCAGAAUCUUCCCUGGAAACAUAAGAUGUUGAAGAUGAGUACUCGAGAGCAAUGCCAGGUAAGUAAUCAGGUAAGGGGUUCCAGGCAGUCAGUUCCUGGCUGGAAGCUUGAUUCCAAGUGCUGACUGAUUGCUCUCUUUCUCCUUGUCUUGCAGGUAAAAACAAGGCCAAAGGAAAAGACAGGGAAAAAGCAUGAUAUGAGAUACUCUUGCUUUUAACCCUGAUGAUAUGAGAUAUUCUUGCUCUAGUAUAGCUUGUUUGCAGAGGUAUUAUUAUCGGGGGGAAAGAAAGCUGAAUAUUUCGAAAGGCUUCGUUGGGAGUGCCCUCUCAGAUAUGAUGAAGGGUUGAGCAUUUUUGCAGGUCUGCCUGUCCGUUGGGGAUGGAGGUCGACAUAUAUAGGAGUCUCCCUAACAACAAGUAGUAAUGCUAUUCCUUUACCCUGCUUGGUCAUAGCACGGUAGUGGGAGCUGCCAGUUGCAAUGGUACUGUUCCUUUACCCUCUCUCUUCGCUUUUGAGAAAGUAGUCAUGUUGGGAGUCUGGCUCUCGAGAUUCGGAGGACGGUGCCUCUUCGAUUUUGGAGCAAGCAAUCUUGUUGGGAGUGUUUUCUCGAAAGUGAGUAAAGGUUGGGCAUGUUUGCUAGUCUACCUUGCCACGAAGCACAGAGGUUGACACACACAAGGACUUUCCAAUUAUCCAGCAGUGGUACUGUUCCUUUACCCUUGUGGGUAAUAAUAUGGUAGCUAGACCUUCAACAUUUAUGUGUCUAAACUUUGUUAGUGCUGUUUCUUUGCUAUUCUUUUACCUUUCUUGGUCAGAGCGAUGUAGUGGGAGCUGCAAGCUUCACGUGCUCAACUUUGGCAGAGAACUUUGGCAAAGUUAUCUGUGGUACCCAUGAGCUAUUGUUGCGUGUGGGAAGUGGGUGAUUGAACAGUAAGAUUCAUGUGCUUUCUACUUCACCAGAAGUCUUCGACAGAAUGCCCAUAAUUUCUGCAAAGCUGAGUGUGCGUGUGACAGGUGCUGACAAGGCUAGAAAAGUAGGUGCCUCUUCGAUUUCUGAGAUCGGCCCUCGUGGUCUCUGAGCAGCCCAGCUUUUGAGAAAGCGAGCGCCUCUUCGAUUGAUUCGGAGAACGAUGCCUCAUCGAUUUUUGAGAAAGCAAUCAUGCUGGGGGUCUGGCUCUCGAAGAUUCGGGGAGCAGUGUCUCUUCGAUUUUUGAGAAAGUAAUCACGUUGGGAGUCUGGCUCUCGAGAUUCGAAGGGUGGUGCCUCUUCGAUUUUGGAGCAAGCAAUCUUGUUGGGAGUGUUUUCUCGAAUGUGAGUAAAGGUUGGGCAUGUUUGCUAGUCUACCUUGCCACGAAGCACAAAGGUUGACACACAGAGACUUUCCAAUUAUCCAGCAAUGGUACUGUUCCUUUACCCUCUCUUCGAUUUUUAAGAAAGUAGUCAUGUUGGGAGUCUGGCUCUCGAGAUUCGGAGGACGGUGCCUCUUCGAUUUUGGAGCAAGCAAUCUUAUUGGGAGUGUUUUCUCGAAUGUGAGUAAAGGUUGGGCAUGUUUGCUAGUCUACCUUGCCACGAAGCACAGAGGUUGACACACAGGGACUUUCCAAUUAUCCAGCAGUGGUACUGUUCCUUUACCCUUGUGGGUAAUAAUAUGGUAGCUAGACCUUCAAAAUUUAUGGGUCUAAACUUUGUUAGUGCUGUUUCUUUGCUAUUCUUUUACCCUUCUUUGGUCAGAGCGAUGUAGUGGGAGCUGCAAGCUUCACGUGCUCAACUUUGGCAGAGAACUUUGGCAAAGUUAUCUGUGGUACCCAUGAGCUAUUGUUGCGUGUGGGAAGUGGGUGAUUGAACAGUAAGAUUCAUGUGUUUUCUACUUCCCCAGAAGUCUUCGACAGAAUGCCCAUAAUUUCUGCAAAGCUGAGUGUGCGUGUGACGGGUGCUGACAAGGCUGGAAAAGUAGGUGCCUCUUCGAUUUCUGAGAUUGGCCCUCGUGGUCUCUAGGGAGCCCAGCUUUUGAGAAAGCGAGCGCCUCUUCGAUUUCUGAGAUCGGCCUUCGUGGUCUUUGAGCAGCCCAACUUUUGAGAAAGCAAAUGCCUCUUCGAUUUCUGAGAUCAACCCUCGUGAUCUCUAAGCAGCCCAGCUUUUGAGAAAGCAAACGCCUCUUCGAUUUCUGAGCAGGCGCCUCUUCGAUUUCUGAAGCUCCGUCGAGUGCAGAUUUUUAUAGAGGCUGACAUUAAGUUCCAAAGCACACUUGAAUCUCCACCAGUAGAAGCUUCAUUCUUGCACUUCUAAGAUCUUGAUUUGUCCGACCUCUUCUCUCUUCAACACCUUUGAAAAUGUCUGGCCCCUCCGACCGUCGUUUUGACUUGAACCUUGUUGAAGAGGCAGCCCCGCCUUCUCCAGACAACAUAUGGCGCCCAUCCUUCGUCUCCCCUACUGGUCCUCUUACCGUUGGGGAUUCCGUGAUGAAGAAUGAUAUGACCGCUGCGGUGGUGGCCAGGAACCUUCUCACUCCCAAGAGAUAACAGACUACUUUCCAAACGGUCUGAUGAGUUAGCUGUUAAGGAUUCGCUGGCUCUCAGUGUUCAGUGUGCAGGUUCUGUGUCUAAUAUGGCCCAACGCCUAUUUGCUCGAACCCGCCAAGUUGAAUCCUUGGCGGCUGAAGUGAUGAGUCUCAAACAGGAGAUUAGAGGGCUCAAGCAUGAGAAUAAACAGUUGCACCGGCUCGCACAUGACUAUGCUACAAACAUGAAGAGGAAGCUUGACCAGAUGAAGGAAACUGAUGGUCAGGUUUUACUUGAUCAUCAGAGAUUUGUGGGUUUGUUCCAAAGGCAUUUAUUGCCUUCGUCUUCUGGGGCUGUACCGCGUAAUGAAGCUCCGAAUGAUCAACCUCUGAUGCCUCCUCCUUCUAGGGUUUUGUCCAGUACUGAGGCUCCAAAUGAUCCCCCUCCGGUGCCUUCUCUUUCUGGGGCUCUACCGACUGCUGAGACUUCUCCUAAGCAACCUUUGUGAAGGCUCCGUCUUGUGUGUUUAUUUUGACUCAUGUAUAUGUACAUAUUUGUAGCUGAUCGGGGAUAUCAAUAAAUAAGCUUUCCUUCAUUUCAACGUAUUGUGUUAAAUACACCAAAGCCUUCUUCGCUAAGUUCUUUGAAUUUUCUUUUGUUGAAGCUUGUAUGUUGAAGCUUUCUGAGUGGAGCAUGUAGGUUGGGGUAGUGUUCCCUUAAUUUCCCGAGUGAGGAAAACUUCUCGGUUGGAGACUUGGAAAAUCCAAGUCACUGAGUGGGAUCGGCUAUAUGAAUCUUAGAACGCCAUUGUGCUCGAUCCUGUGUCAUGUCCUUCGUUAGAUCCAAGUACUCUAAGUCUUUUCUUAGAGUCUCUUCCAAAGUUUUCCUAGGUCUUCCUCUACCCCUUCGGCCCUGAACCUCUGUCCCAUAGUCGCAUCUUCUAAUCGGAGCGUCAGUAGGCCUUCUUUGCACAUGUCCAAACCACCGUAACCGAUUUUCUCUCAUCUUUCCUUCAAUUUCGGCUACUCCUACUUUACCCCGGAUAUCCUCAUUCCUAAUCUUAUCCUUUCUCGUGUGCCCACACAUCCAACGAAGCAUCCUCAUCUCCGCUACACCCAUUUUGUGUACGUGUUGAUGUUUCACCGCCCAACAUUCUGUGCCAUACAGCAUCGCCGGCCUUAUUGCCGUCCUAUAAAAAUUUUCCCUUGAGCUUCAAUGGCAUACGGCGGUCACACAACACGCCGGAUGCACUCUUCCACUUCAUCCAUCCAGCUUGUAUUCUAUGGUUGAGAUCUCCAUCUAAUUCUCCGUUCUUUUGCAAGAUAGAUCCUAGGUAACGAAAACGGUCGCUUUUUGGUAUUUCUUGAUCUCCGAUCCUCACCCCUAACUCGUUUUGGCCUCCAUUUGCACUGAACUUGCACUCCAUAUAUUCUGUCUUUGAUCGGCUUAGGCGAAGACCUUUAGAUUCCAACACUUCUCUCCAAAGGUUAAGCUUUGCAUUUACCCCUUCCUGAGUUUCAUCUAUCAACACUAUAUCGUCUGCGAAAAGCAUACACCAAGGAAUAUCAUCUUGAAUAUGUCCUGUUAACUCAUCCAUUACCAACGCAAAAAGGUAAGGACUUAAGGAUGAGCCUUGAUGUAAUCCUACAGUUAUGGGAAAGCUUUCGGUUUGUCCUUCAUGAGUUCUUACGGCAGUCUUUGCUCCUUCAUACAUAUCCUUUAUAGCUUGGAUAUAUGCUACUCGUACUCCUUUCUUCUCUAAAAUCCUCCAAAGAAUGUCUCUUGGGACCCUAUCAUACGCUUUUUCCAAAUCUAUAAAGACCAUGUGUAAAUCCUUUUUCCCAUCUAUAAAGACUCAGAAAUAGUCACAACUGCACAAAUUAAAAUGAUGAGAACUUAUUAUUGAUGCAUGCGCAAUCAUAUACAAAUUUAUAGUAAAAGUGAAAUAAUCAAUUAAUGGACUCCUAGUAAACAUUUCUAGAGGUGACAAUUUGGGACUAGAGAUGGCAACAGGACGGAUUCAGAUCAAGGUUGCCAACAUCAUAACCGUAUCGCCAGGUAUACAAUCCCUAAUAUAGUACUCCCAAAUAAUCUAAUAACUUGAUAUUAUAUGUUCCAAUAAAAAAUAAAAAAAACUUGAUAUUGUAUGUAUAAAGCACAAUAAAACACACCACAUAAUAUUACUUAAUAGGAAAAUGUUGGGAAGAUCACAUAUUUUUGUGUCACAUUUAUGUAUCAUCUAAUGUGGCAACUGAGGUAUACACGUCACAUCAAUUUAUGAAUUUAUCUCACUGGAUGUUGAUUGUGUCCACCACUUGCCAUAUGAGAUGAUACACUAAUAUAGUAUAAAUAUGUAGUUUUUAUAGCAUUACUCUUUAAAUAAUAAAGCAUAAUAAAACAUACCAUAUAUGAUUGCAAAAAUCAUAUAUUAGUAUACAUUAUUUUUCUUAAAUUUUAACAUGUUGAACAAAUAAAUGGGCAGCUUUGGGAUUACCUUGCAAUCCUACGUUUCAAGACUCGAACUUGCACGAAUAUUGGACAUGAUCUGUAGCAAGAAGCAGUUUCAUGGGAGUCAAUCAGGUCAUGAGGGCACUUGUUUGCACUUAUGAUCAACAAAUCCAGACUGAACGAUGGAAUAAUUAAGCCUGAAAAGUGCACAGAUUAUAUAGAUGGUUAUUGAUAAAAUAAUUAAUUAAGCAUACAAACUUGAAGAAAAAUGAAAUAAAUAAAUAAUGGAUUUGGCAUAUAUAGUUGCAAGAGGAACUUACCGCGUUGGAGUUUUCAGAUGAUGAUGAAGAUGAAGGGACUUGUUUCCAUAGAUCAUUAAGAUCAACAGAUCUAGACUACUUUAGAGCUCUUCAAUUUGCUGAGAUAAUUAGGUGUUGAAACUGAAAGACCUAACGAAGUCUUCUUCCUUCUGCCCAAAAGGAAAGUUAGACUCCUCUUUUUCCUCUCUCUUUAUUUUUCGUGGGGUCAUAUUGUUUUAUCAUUUUGAUUGCUUUCUUAUCUCCUAUGUCCUACACGGUUAUUGCUUCUUUUUUUUUCAUUUGGAGAAAAUUGUGUCAAUGAUCUCUUAACUUUAAUCAAAUUAGAAUAAUGAUCUCUUAAUUAAAAAUUCAUGAUCAUUGAUCUCUUAACUCAUUAAAAUGUGCAGCUAAAGUCCAUUUCGUCAACACCGCUAAAAUUUCCGUCAAAAUGAGUCACGUGCUAGGCACAUGAGGCCGAAUCAAGAAGCAAAUAUGGAAAACUAAAUGAGAAAAUUGUAGAAAUAGUUUCUCAAUUUUAACUCAAUUGAAGCAAUGAUCUCUUAACUUUAAUACAAUUGUAGCAAUGUUUCUUUCAACUUGACUUGUUUUGACAAAAGUUAUGAUGAAGUUGAUAAAAAUGACUAUAGCUGCACGUUUUGGGAAGUUAAGAAACCAAUGAUCAUGUAUUUUUAAUUGAUAAACUAUUGCUACAAUUUCUUUUUUCCUUUAUGCGAUCGAUUUUGGAGAUGGUGAACCAAACAUGAAACUUCGGGUGCAAAGGUGACUCGUAAACAACUGAGCAACAUUCCCUUGCAAUGCUGAUCAUGUUAUUUUGUGAGCGUGAUUGGUUCAAUUUUUUGUAGGCCAUUGUAGGUAAUGUAGAGACAAUCAAUUUUAAACAGUAAAAAGACACUGAAACAACUUGGGCCAUACAACACAAAGAAGAAGAAAAUGCUCCUGCCGACACCAGAUUUACUGAAGUUACCAUGUAUUAUGCUUUACCAUCUUGUAGUUAUACUACUUAAUUACUCACAGAGCCAUAUUUGAUUAUGAUCAAUUUGAAGAUGAAGAGCAAGUUUUAUUAGCAUAUAAUUAAGGGAGUUUUAACGAAACACUUAUGGUACUGUUAACUUAAAAACUACAUUUGUACCUUUCUAUGGUACUAUUCAGUACACAUUUAAUUGUUAUUUUUCAUUAAAACUAAAGUUUUUUUGGACUUUUCGUUGGUUUUCCUUAUAAUUAAUGAACAUCUAGAUGUUUAAGGAAACGAGAGCAAGAUUUUCAUAAAGUGAAAAUACUAGCUUAUUAUGUUAAUUUUGAAGAUUAAGUGAGACGAAUUAAGCUUUAUGGAACUGAAUCAGUGACAAGUAAUUUUAGACUUAUGACAAGUAAUUUGUGUCUUUGCCAUGUGAAAUUUGCUUUUCACUAAUCAUUCUCCCCGCAAUAAAAUUAGUAGUGCUAAAGUGAAUCAAUAAAAUUAGUAGUGCUAAAGUGAACCAAUUCCGCAAAAUACAUAAAAACCAAAAAGAAAUGUUUUUUAUAUUAACACCCCACAAAAUGUUGAAUACACUCCAUAUUAAAAUUUAAUAUUAAAUAACUUAUUCCAUAUGAGAUGAUACACUAAUAUAUUAGUAUACAUAUGUAGUUUUUCUAGCAUUACUCUUUAAAUAAUAAAGCAUAAUAAAACAUACCAUAUAUGAUUGCAAAAAUCAUAUAUUAGUAUACAUUAUUUUUCUUGUUGUGACAUAUGUUCUUAUCAAUAUGUGAUUGUGUAAAUCCUAAGUAGAGAUAAAAUAGGAAUCCUUUGGGAUCUAGAAGAUCUUUCCUAAUAUACUUUGUAUUACUUGGAGAGCAAGUUUCUCUCCUCCUAAUUACUAUAAAUAAAGGCACAAUGACUGGAGAAUUAACACACAAUUCCUCAAGUCUAUUCUCCAAUCUCUCUUCUUCUCUUUGCCGCAUAUCUCUGUAAAAUAUAGGCCACAACACGUUAUCAGCACGCUCUUCACGCUGUGCUUAGAAGAAUUUAAAGAGAAUUUAUUCGUCUACAAUCAGGGGAGUAUUACGUUUCAAUUAUUUUUAAUUGAUUAAAUCUUGAUUUUAUUGAAUUCAUAUAUUGUUAUUGAUUCAAUUUAUUUUUCUUCUUAUGUUGAACGUGAUACAAGCUUGAAGAUGAAAGCCGAAAUUGAAGAAAAAUAAUUUUUUUCUGCAUCAAACCAGUUCAUUCAUAUCAUCACGCAAUCAGGUUCUUCCAAAACAACGGCUUUUUAACUCGAUAUUUUUGAAGCCCUGAUCGCAUGAACACAUUCACCAUGAUGCAUGACCCAACUUUACGUUUAACGUAUUUUAGAUUCUACAUAAAUUGUGUAUGCCUCAUAACCAAAAUUGCUGCAAUUAUGUGAAUUUGAUAUUUGCCAUGAAUUGAAACAUACAUAUGUAAAUGCAUUGAAACUAUUAUUUUGCAUAUGCAUCAAAUUACAUAUGUGUUUCAUUGAAAUAUAUAUACUAUUGAAUUAUAUAUGCAUUUAAUUGAAUUGAAAAAAAUUGAAAAAUUAGGGUUUCGAGACCCUAACCAGCGAGCUGCAGGCUUUAAGCCGCGCCGCUUUGUAAGCCAUAGGGCUGCGAUGCACUGGAGCAUAGCUCUGCUAUGCUGAGAACCCAACACGAUGCCGUUUGCGUCAUCCCCAACCCAGAAAACAUACCCUCGCCGGAAGCCGAGACCGUGGCGUUGCCAUUUUUUUUCUAGAUUUCACGACCUGCAGUCGUGAUAGUUUGGGGUUUCAUCGUCGACUACAACGAUGUUAUUUGAAUUUCCGUUGAAAUUCAAUACUAAAAUCGAAGAUUCCCGAAUCGAAUCCCUGGGUUCCACACUUCCCCGAUGUCGAGGACCCUCCUCCGUCGUUAUGAUUAGUUCUUGGAUGAACCACCAUGCCUCGAACUCACUCCUAAGGUUCCCCGUGCUUCGCCGUGCCACAACCUCAGAGGACAGUCGCCUGAAGCGACACUGGUGUUCUUCCUCGGCUGUACACACCCAAUAAGACUGGGUUUGUGACCCAUAUUUUUGGGUUGGACCCUCUCUCGGUCUUCCUCUUUCGCAUUGGGCUCACGCGUCGUGACCCAAACAUUUUUUUUAGGACCUCAUAUUUUGGCCUUACUGUUUUCCACGACCCGUAUAACAAAAAAAAAAAAAAUACAAAUUCUUGGGCUUGCCUGAAGCAGCCCGCGCGAUCAAAAAGCAAGGAUUUUUUUUUUUUGGCUGCCCACAGCAGCCUAGUCUUUUUCUGUGGGCCUGCAGCCCCACCCGAAACCCCUAGCCCAAUUUUUGGGCCUAGGUAGAAUGGACCAUAUUUUUUAAAGCCACCCGUGGCUUAGUUUUUGUUUUGGGCCCCGAAUUUUAUUAGCCUAAUUUUUUUUUAGGCCCAAUGGGUUUAUAUUUUUUCACCCACAUUUUAAUUUGGCCCGAAGUCCAAAUAAAUUAAUUCAAUUAUAAUUGUGAACCUAAAGUUAUAUUUUUGCACAUACUUGUUGCAUAUUUGCUUGCAUAUAUAUUUGUGUUUGCUUGCAGGUAUUAUGAACUUAAAAGUUCAUACUUCCGAACCCGAAGUUUCGGAAAAGUGCCAUAUGAACCUGAAGUUUCUUAAUGCACAACACUCAUGUUGAGACUCGAAGUUCUCCAUGCUUAAAUCCGUUUAAACCAAACCAUGUCUUAGUACCUGAAUGUUCUAAAUUUGUUGUUUAUGGAAAUUUUAUUUCCUAAAACACCAAUCACAUUCUUGUUUCCUCCAUUCAGCGUAUUGUCGAACCGUAACAAGUUCGAUUUCACUGAUUUGGAAGUUUCGAAUAGUAAACUACUUUAUGUGGAUACAAGACGUGAAUAAGCAUCCGCCAUGAUCCUUAUUCGAAGAAUUAUGCCUGAAGCAUAUCCAAUGGAAGUACCUCCCUGCUGAGGACUCCAUGACUCUUCAAAUCCGUUAUGGACUGUUUCAAAUCAUGCAAAGAUGAAUUUUUGCCUGAAGCAAAACAUGAUUGAAACUGUUACGUCCAUGAAUAGGUACAAUUCUCGUAGUCCAUUUGUGAGACUCAUUUUGCUCCACCUAAUACAUUUGGAAGAGCGAAAUUGACAUGGACGACCUAUUGGCCGAACCCCAUUGAUUUUUUUUGGUUUAUUUUGUGAAUAAUUUAUUUUGUUCUCAGAUUUAAGAUUAGUGUUUGGAUGUCACCAUUAUUCUCGAAUAAAAGAGUUAAUUAACGAAGAUUACCACAUGUGACUACAAUUAACUCAUGCUUAGGUAUGUUUUGUGGGGAAGUUAGCUGUCUGGUUCUAUGCUAACUUCAUACCUAAUCAUCCCCCGACAACCUUUCAGGCUUAUCCAACCUGAUUGUGGGGCAUGGCACUGCCCUAUAUUGUCCAAUGGUAUUAACUUUACCAUAAAGGGAAGCCUUAUACUCACUUCGUUCCGGAAGAACGCAUUUUUGAGCUUUAAGGAUAUUCGAGAGUAUUAUUACCAUAUUGAAACCAAUGUAGAAAAAUGGAGUAAAAUUCCUUGGCAUAUUACCAUUUUGCACUUCUUACGAAUAUAGUUAAAUGCAUAUUCUAGAGAAGAUGGAACGCUUAACGCAUGGAUUACAUCCAUUCAAGUCCACUAUGUGGCCGGCCAGAAGCCGCGAUUCCUAAGGAAUUUUCGCUAUGGAUGUACGUUUGGGAUAUCUAGGAUGAUUCGUGAUGCGCCGUUUUGGGCAUCCUUUUACCAGAAGUAAAGAAAUCAUACCUGGACACGUAUUAUACCUUAGCACCCUCCAUCUUUUUACAAAGGAUUCAAAUGGGACAUUUGUGGAUAGAUUCAACCACCCUACGGACCAUUUAAAUAUUCUAUAGUAUUGGUUGAUGCUUCUACACGUUUGUCACAUGUGUGGUUGUUGUCCACAAGUUGCAUUCUCCACACUGGUAGCUCAGAUUAACAAGCUCAGAGCUCACCACCCUGAUCAUCUGAUCAAAUUUAUUUGAUUGGAUAAGUUGGAGAAUUUACAUCGACAUUUACAUCGAACAAUUUAAAUCUCGAUGGAUAUUGCAUGUCGGUUGGGUUUUUUGAAAGUUGAACAUCCAGUCCCAUGUUCAUACCCAGAACGACCCAGCAGAAGUAUUCAUUAAACGCCUUCAAAUGAUUGCGUGGUCGACUGGUCAUACGUACCACAGUUCCCGACCUCUGCUUGGGGCCAUGCAAUAUUGCAAGCAACCAUGUUGGUCUGCCUGAGGCCCGUCACGACCCAACCUUAUAAAGCGCGUGUCAGUUGGUUACCAGAUACGAACCCGACAUAUCGCAUCUACGCGUCUUUGGUUGUGCGGUCUAUGUGCCAUUUUGCGCCGCCCUUACGUACACAAAAACAAAGGGGUCCUCAGGGAAGGAUGGAAAUCUAUGUCGGUUAUGAUUCUCCUUCUAAUAUUCAUUACUAAAUAACCUUUGACAGGCGAUCUCUUUACCGCUCGUUUUGCGGAUUGUCACUUUUAUGAGACAGUCUUCCCGUCAUUAGGGGGAGAUAAGAACGUCACCGUUCCUAAAAAACGACGCGAAUUAUCGUGGACGUCCCCACUAUGUCUCAUAUCGAUCCCAAUCUAGAUCGUCAGAGUUUAACCAGACAUUUCCUCUGAUCUAGAAAAAGUGACGAGAUCACAUAUACCAGCUGCAAAUGUGCCUGCAAAGAUGUGUACCAAAUGUACUUCGGACCUUUGUCCUGAAAGUAGGAAAGCCACAAUUAUGGCCGACCCUCGUACAUUGGCGGCUAGCCAAUCAAUCUAUCUUAUGCCAGAAGCAUGGUAGAUCACUCGGUUCGAGGAUUCACUUCCCCAAAAGAGGAGGAACGUGGCACAAAUGAAUCCGCCCCUCGAUCGCUGUCUCAGACCUUUUCAUCUCAUGAGAUUAAAUCCGGAUUACUCCCGAGACCUGAAGUUCUUGGUCCAGUAUACUAGUUUGGAUGAGAUAUGGAAUUGGAAUGAGAUUAUCAUAAAUGAUGUUUCAUUUAUAUGGUACCGACAUAAAUGAAAAGCGACGAUAACGAACUACGUUCCGUUGAUUAAUAUCAACGUAGAACUGAUUGGUCAACUAAAAUAAUCAAUCUAUGACAAAUGAGAUGAAUGAAAUAGUGCAAUAUGACGCCUUGUGGCGCAAGGUUUCUCUCAUACGCCAUGUGAUUGAUCGCAGCAUUACAAACGUGGUUGUAGUAUCUCUGGGAUCGUGAUAUGAACCUACAUGGAGUUUCCAAAGGACUUACAUGUACUGAUUCAAAUAGUUCUAGACCACAAGAACAUCCUCUUGAUUCUCAAGCGGCCUUCACUUUACGGAUGCAGAACUAUCCGGGCAUAUGUGGUAUACCCGUCUAAGUGAAUAUUUGAUCAGUUAGGGAUAUAUGCCCCUGCGUGUAUAAAAUCCGAAAUUGCUAAAGUUGAGAAAAUUAACUCGCAUAUCGGACUAUAAGAUGAAUGAUCUUGGGAGAACUUGACAUUACCUCGACCUGAAGUUUCGAGCUAGUUUUGAUGGUAUUCUGGUCCACCACUCAAACUAGACCCAAAAGGUGUUACGUCUGAGUAUAUCCUGAUCAUCUGUAUGCUAGAUGCAAAUGAGACCUUUACGGAGGGUAUGGAGCAUAAGGUUCCUUAUUGGAACGUGAGGCAGCCAUAUCUAAGUACCAUUGGAUUUUGUUGUACUUAGCUCAAAUGCACUAGAUCAGACAUCUUAUGUGCUGAUAAUCUUUUGGCAUAAAGCAGCACUGCGCCUAACACGCCACCACCAAAUUUGGUGUUAAAGACGUUUUUCUGUUACUACGGAUUUGGGCUUAUUCCCUAUGCAUCUCAGAAUAGAUCACACCCCCUUGAUCUUCGGAAUGAUGCCUACCUUGUGGGAUUCGCUGAAUCAGACCAUUUGUCUGACCGCACAAGGUACGUUCCCGCAUGGUUAUGUCUUUACCAUUAAGGAACACCGCAAUAUCUUGGAGGUUAAUUAGAUAGACCUUUUGUUGCGAAAUCUUUUUGAAUCGUUCCAAGACUCACUAUGUCUCAUCACGUGAGAGAUAUGGUCGAGAAUUCUUGUUGAGCAUAUUAAAAAAUCCUUGCGAUUUUCAUCCAUCGUUGAGUCCCAACAACGAUCCAUGAAUACAACGCUGUAUGUAUCGACCAGAUCAUGAUACAUCCAAAAAGUCAACACCAAACAUAUUGUAUCUACAUCAGCAUGAGCAUCAGAAGAUUGAAGUCAAGCAGUCCAAUCCCAGACAACCUUACCGACAUCUACACAAAGUCACUACCAAAGUCUACCUUCCAGAAGCUUGUCCAAUGAAUUGGUAUGCGUAACUUUCUCAUUUGCAAUGCUUGUAGUUUCAUUUGGAAGUUUUGUCAAACUCAUGGGGAGUAUCUAGAAGUAUACUCACUUGAUCUUAAUGUACUCUUUUUCCCUACGAUUAGGAGCAUUUUUCCCACUGGGUUUUUGCUACCUAACUAGGUUUUAACGAGGCACCCAUCCUGGGCUGAUCAUACCCUUGUGAGCUCUUCUACUUGCGUCCAGAAGACGUAUAGUUUUUGACUUAAUGCAACUUCUCACUUUUCUCCUUAGCCUAUGGGCUUUUCUCCCACCUUGGGUUUUGCCAUAGUAAGGUUUUGUGAGUUUUACCACUCCUGCAUUCUUCCGUCUUUUGAGACUCGCAUUCGCUACUUGUGCCGACUAAACGAGACGAUUUCAUCCACUACUUCUACAUUUGCCUGAAGAUCUGAUGCGCCAUCUACUUGAAUAUUUGCACACUCAAGGGGGAGUGUUGUGACAUAUGUUCUUAUCAAUAUGUGAUUGUGUAAAUCCUAAGUAGAGAUAAAAUAGGAAUCCUUUGGGAUCUAGAAGAUCUUUCCUAAUAUACUUUGUAUUACUUGGAGAGCAAGUUUCUCUCCUCCUAAUUACUAUAAAUAAAGGCACAAGGACUGGGGAAUUAACACACAAUUCCUUAAGUCUAUUCUCCAAUCUCUCUUCUUCUCUUUGCCGCAUAUCUCUGUAAAAUAUAGGCCACAACAUUUCUUAAAUUUUAACAUGUUGAACAAAUAAAUGGGCAGCUUUGGGAUUACCUUGCAAUCCUACGUUUCAAGACUCGAACUUGCACGAAUAUUGGACAUGAUCUGUAGCAAGAAGCAGUUUCAUGGGAGUCAAUCAGGUCAUGAGGGCAUUUGUUUGCACUUAUGAUCAACAAAUCCAGACUGAACGAUGGAAUAAUUAAGCCUGAAAAGUGCACAGAUUAUAUAGAUGGUUAUUGAUAAAAUAAUUAAUUAAGCAUACAAACUUGAAGAAAAAUGAAAUAAAUAAAUAAUGGAUUUGGCAUGUAUAGUUGCAAGAGGAACUUACUGCGUUGGAGUUUUCAGAUGAUGAUGAAGAUGAAGGGACUUGUUUCCAUAGAUCACUAAGAUCAACAGAUCUAGAUUACUUUAGAGCUCUUCAAUUUGCUGAGAUAAUUAGGUGUUGAAAGACCAUAACGAAGUCUUCUUCCUUCUGCCCAAAAGGAAAGUUAGAUUCCUCUUUUUCCUCUCUUUAUUUUUCGUGGGGUCAUAUUGUUUUAUCAUUUUGAUUGCUUUCUUAUCUCCUAUGUCCUACACGAUUAUUGCUUCUUUUUUUUUCAUUUGGAGAAAAUUAUGUCAAUGAUCUCUCAACUUUAAUUAAAUUAGAAUAAUGAUCUCUUAAUUAAAAAUUCAUAAUCAUUGAUCUCUUAACUCAUUAAAAUGUGCAGUUAAAGUCCAUUUCGUCAACACCGCUAAUAUUUCCGUCAAAAUGAGUCACGUGCUAGACACAUGAGGCCGAAUCAAAAAGUGAAUAUGGAAAACUAAAUGAGAAAAUUGUAGAAAUAGUUUCUCAAUUUUAAUCUAAUUGAAGCAAUGAUCUCUUAACUUUAAUACAAUUGUAGCAAUGUUUCUUUCAACUUGACUUGUUUUGACAAAAGUUAUGAUGAAGUUGAUAAAAAUGACUAUAACUGUACGUUUUGGGAAGUUAAAAAACCAAUGAUCAUGAAUUUUUAGUUGAAAGGUUAUUGCUACAAUUUCUUUUUUCCUUUAUGCGAUCGAUUUUGGAGAUGGCAAACCAAACAUGAAACUUCGGGUGCAAAGGUGACUCUUAAACAACUGAUCAACAUUCCCUUGCAAUGCUGAUCAUGUUAUUUUGUGAGCGUGAUUGGUUCAAUUUUUUGUAGGCCCUUGUAGGUAAUGUAGAGACAAUCAACUUUAAACAGUAAAAGACACUGAAACAACUUGGGCCAUAUAUAACACAAAGCAGAAGAAAAUGCCGACACCAGAUUUUACCAUGUAUUAUGCUUUACCAUCUUGUAGUUAUACUACUUAAUUACUCACAGAGCCAUAUUUGAUUAUGAUCAAUUUGAAGAUGAAGAGCAAGUUUUAUUAGCAUAUAAUUAAAGGAGUUUUAACGAAACACUCCUGGUACUGUUAACUUAAAAACUACAUUUGUACCUUUCUAUGGUACUAUUCAGUACACAUUUAAUUGUUAUUUUUCAUUAAAAUUAAAGUUUUUUUGGACUUUCGUUGGUUUUCCUUAUAAUUAAUGAACAUCUAGAUGUUUAAGGAAACGAGAGCAAGAUUUUCAUAAAGUGAAAAUGCUAGCUUAUUAUGUUAAUUUUGAAGAUUAAGUGAGACGAAUUAAGCUUUAUGGAACUGAAUCAGUGACAUGUAAUUUUAGACUUAUGACAAGUAACUUGUGUCUUUGCCAUGUGAAAUUUGCUUUUCAAUAAUCAUUCUCCCCGCAGUAAAAUUAGUAGUGCUAAAAUGAACCAAUAAAAUUAGUAGUGCUAUAGUGAACCAAUUCCGCAAAAUACACAAAAGCCAAUUCCAUAAAAACAAAAAAGAAAGGCUUUUUAUAUUAACACCUCACAAAAUGUUGAAUGCACCCCACAUUAAAAUUUGGGGUGUGCUAUCCACACACCAUUUUUUACUUCUCACACACCUCUUGUUAAUUUCUGUCCGUUGAUCUUCUUCAAUUCAUCCGAUCUGAUGGCCGAAAACCAAAAAGGUGUGGGAGAAGUAAAAAUGAGUGUGUGGAUAUUACACCCCUAAAAUUUAAUAUUAUAUGACUUAUUUACUCUACUAUGCAAUGAUAAUUUUGACCUUAUUAGGUUUAAAAAAUAUAUAUAAAUUUAUAAGAGUAAACUGCCGAUUUUCCCCCUGAACUGUCACCCAACUUUCGAUUUCCCUCCUGAACUUUUUAAUUUGAAAAUUAAGGACUUAAACUAAUUUUUUUGGCCAAUUUCCCCCUACCGUUAGUUUUUCAUAGAUUUCAUCCAAAUUAACGUUAACUCUUAUUAUGUGCAAACCACGUAACUCUUCUUUAUGGACAAAAAUGUCACUUCACUAGACCUUCAGAUACAAAAGCUAUAGAAUCACACAUAUUUGCAUAGGUUUAUAUUUUAGAAAUCUAAGGUUUUUUAUUA
rnacentral:lncRNA from 1 species